UUGAGCUUAUUUUUCCCUUUAAAGCUGUCCUAAUUGCUAUUUUAAUCAGAUUUUAUAUUCCUAUAAAUCUAAGGUGGAGGUUGGGGAGAAAAGAGAUGAUGGUAUGGUGAGAUGUCUACUGAACUGCUCCUGCCAAGGCCCCUCCCCAUGUACUCUCAACAAAAGUUGCAGGCAGCCACCUCUCAACAACCCAUGAAGUGUCUGGAGCUCCACCCUCUGCUCAAGAGGAACGGCACAUGACCCAGGCCUAUGCCAAUCAGCAUUUCACAUUCCUCAUGAUUGGUUCAAAGCUCCCACAGGCCCAUUCUGGUGACUCAUGACUUGUAUACACAGAACAACAGAAAAAAGAAAAAUAGAAUUAGAUAAACAAGCAGGGGCAACAGUGAGGGCUAUGUCUUACAAAGAACCAUUUUUAAUUGAAUUCAUUUUCUCUCUUGAAAUUCUUUUUUUUUCCCUCAAAAGUGGGAAAAAAUUCUCAAAUAACAACAGCAAACCAAGAAAGCAGCUUAGUCUGCACUGCAUUUGCAUUUCUUAGUUUCAUUCCCUAUUCAAAAAUGUCUUAGGCAAAUGUGUGGGAAUGAACAUGCACUUUAAAAUUAUGGGACCUAGUAGAUUUAAUGGAAUGAGCCCUGGAUUGGGAGCCAGGGGACCUGGCUUUGAAUGGUCCCAACCCAGGCACUUAUUUACCUUAGUUUCUUCACUUAUAAAAUUAAACACACCAUCUACUGAUGAAUGGAUAAACAAAAUAUGAUAUCCACAGAAGGGAAUCUUGUUCAGCCGUGAGAAGGAAUGAAGUAUGGACAUGUGCUAUAAUGUGGAUGUGCCUUAAAGACAUUAUGCUAAGUGAAAGAAGCCAGACACAAAGACCAUACAUUUCACGAUUCCACUUACGUGAAAUGUACAGAAUAGCUAAAUCUAAGGACAUAAAGUAGGUUAGCUAAUGGGUACAGGUUUCUUUCUGGGUUGAUGAAAUGUUCCAAAAUUGAUUGUGCUGAUGGUUGUAUUUAAAACUCUGCAUAUACCGAAAACCAUUUAAUUGUACAUUUUAAAUGAGUGAAUUGUAUGCUAUGUGAAUUAUAUCUCAAUAAAGUUGUUCAAAAA
rnacentral:lncRNA from 1 species